UACGGGGGGGGCAAGCGUUGUUCGGAAUUACUGGGGGUAAAGGGCUCGUAGGUGGCCAACUAAGUCAGACGUGAAAUCCCUCGGCUUAACCGGGGAACUGCGUCUGAUACUGGAUGGCUUGAGUUUGGGAGAGGGAUGCGGAAUUCCAGGUGUAGCGGUGAAAUGCGUAGAUAUCUGGAGGAACACCGGUGGCGAAGGCGGCAUCCUGGACCAACACUGACACUGAGGAGCGAAAGCCAGGGGAGCAAACGGG
rnacentral:rRNA from 1 species